rnacentral:rRNA from 1 species
CCUACGGGAGGCAGCAGUGAGGAAUAUUGGUCAAUGGACGAGAGUCUGAACCAGCCAAGUAGCGUGAAGGAUGACUGCCCUAUGGGUUGUAAACUUCUUUUAUAUGGGAAUAAAAUGUUCCACGUGUGGGAUUUUGUAUGUACCAUAUGAAUAAGGAUCGGCUAACUCCGUGCCAGCAGCCGCGGUAAUACGGAGGAUCCGAGCGUUAUCCGGAUUUAUUGGGUUUAAAGGGAGCGUAGGUGGAUUGUUAAGUCAGUUGUGAAAGUUUGCGGCUCAACCGUAAAAUUGCAGUUGAAACUGGCAGUCUUGAGUACAGUAGAGGUGGGCGGAAUUCGUGGUGUAGCGGUGAAAUGCUUAGAUAUCACGAAGAACUCCGAUUGCGAAGGCAGUUCACUGGACUGCAACUGACACUGAGGCUCGAAAGGGUGGGUAUCAAACAGGAUUAGAUACCCCUGUAGUC